CAUCUAUGUAAGGCAAAUGCCAAAAAUCAGAAGAGCUGUCCUCCCUGAAGUUGAAGCCAACAAAAUGAAACCAACCCAAACCAAUCUGAAUUGAUAUAUUCUUUAUACAGACUAGAAAAGAACUGACGCGGAGAUUGACAGGUUAAUUGGGGAGAUCUGAGAAAUGGCGCCUGUCUCGGCUCUAGCAAAGUAUAAGCUCGUAUUCUUAGGGGACCAAUCAGUGGGCAAAACAAGCAUCAUCACUCGCUUCAUGUAUGAUAAAUUCGAUAACACUUACCAGGCUACAAUUGGCAUUGAUUUUCUAUCAAAAACCAUGUACCUUGAAGAUCGAACUGUUCGCUUGCAGUUGUGGGAUACAGCUGGACAGGAAAGAUUCAGCCCAAGCUACAUCAGAGAUUCCUCAGUUGCUGUCAUUGUGUAUGAUGUUGCAAGCAGGCAAACUUUCUUGAACACAUCAAAAUGGAUUGAAGAGGUUCGCACUGAGAGGGGCAGUGAUGUGAUCAUCGUCCUUGUUGGAAAUAAAACUGACCUUGUGGACAAAAGGCAAGUCUCUGUAGAAGAAGGA
rnacentral:misc_RNA from 1 species